rnacentral:rRNA from 1 species
UACGUAGGGUGCAGGCGUUAAUCGGAAUUACUGGGCGUAAAGCGUGCGCAGGCGGUUUCUUAAGUCAGAUGUGAAAGCCCCGGGCUUAACCUGGGAACUGCGCUUGGAACUGGGAGACUUGAGUGUGGCAGAGGGGGGUGGAAUUCCACGUGUAGCAGUGAAAUGCGUAGAUAUGUGGAGGAACACCAAUGGCGAAGGCAGCCCCCUGGGUCAACACUGACGCUCAUGCACGAAAGCGUGGGGAGCAAACAGG